rnacentral:siRNA from 1 species
UAUGUGGAUUUCAAAAGUUUGU